UUGGAAACGACUGCUAAUACCGCAUACGCCCUACGGGGGAAAGGAGGGGACCUUCGGGCCUUUCGCGAUUGGAUGAACCCAGGUGGGAUUAGCUAGUUGGUGGGGUAAUGGCUCACCAAGGCGACGAUCCCUAGCUGGUCUGAGAGGAUGAUCAACCACACUGGAACUGAGACACGGUCCAGACUCCUACGGGAGGCAGCAGUGGGGAAUAUUGCACAAUGGGGGAAACCCUGAUGCAGCCAUGCCGCGUGUGUGAAGAAGGCCUUCGGGUUGUAAAGCACUUUCAGCGAGGAGGAAAGGUUGGCACCUAAUACGUGUCAACUGUGACGUUACUCGCAGAAGAAGCACCGGCUAACUCCGUGCCAGCAGCCGCGGUAAUACGGAGGGUGCAAGCGUUAAUCGGAAU
rnacentral:rRNA from 1 species